rnacentral:tRNA from 1 species
AAGACAUGACUAGUGGCGUCUAAUAUGAUUUCUAAUCAAGUUUAAUGAGUUUAGCCCCUCAUAUGUCU